GAUUCCUUAUAGACUGGGGAAAGGUAUUCUUAACCGUUUUCAAACUCUGAUUUCCAAAUGUAUUUGGGCAAAUAAACCACCUAGGAUAGCUUUUGACACUCUUCGAAGGAGCUAUCAGAAGGGUGGUAUAGCAUUUCCAGAUGUCGAUAAAAUCCAUGAAGCAUGUAUGGCGACUCAUCUUUUACAGUGGCUAGACAAGGAACAGGGAUAUAAAUCAU